rnacentral:lncRNA from 1 species
CUGUGAAUUCCCCAUACCCUUAUUCCCUUCUACUUGUUUUAGUUAAGUAUCAGGCAUGGAAGUAUCCAAAAUGUUGCUCAUGUCUAUAUCCUAACUCCUUAACAAUGUGGCUAACAGACUGGUUAGGGGUGUGCCAGGACUCCAAAUUGCUGGGUAUGACUACCAUCAUGUCAUGGCCUUCCCCAAAAUCUCCUCUAUGCACUUGCACUCUCUCGUAGAUUCUAAGUUAUGCUCCCUCCGAUGAGCCUUGCCUUGGAACCUUGAGCUCCUUCUGAACUUGGACAUUUAAGGGUUGGUCCUUUCACACUGCACUAUAAUUAAAUUUUGCAAUAUAUUUGCAUGUAAGCGGUGCCCAGAGUCCAUUUGAAACUCUUAGGGAACUUUGACACAUCCCUAAUAAGAGAAGGUUUUGGAUUUUGAGUUAGUUUACUUCAUGCUUCAGACAGAAGUCUGAAUCAGAAUCUCCUUGGUUAGGACUGUUAGCUUUCUAAUGUAUUUUUACUUUUAUUUAUUCAUUCUGGGCUGUAAUAAUUUGUAAUAACUCAUGGGGCUCAUAGUGAAAAGGGGAG